AUUGAACGCUGGCGGCAGGCCUAACACAUGCAAGUCGAGCGGAUGAAGGGAGCUUGCUCCUGGAUUCAGCGGCGGACGGGUGAGUAAUGCCUAGGAAUCUGCCUGGUAGUGGGGGAUAACGUCCGGAAACGGGCGCUAAUACCUCAUACGUCCUGAGGGAGAAAGUGGGGGAUCUUCGGACCUCACGCUAUCAGAUGAGCCUAGGUCGGAUUAGCUAGUUGGUGGGGUAAAGGCCUACCAAGGCGACGAUCCGUAACUGGUCUGAGAGGAUGAUCAGUCACACUGGAACUGAGACACGGUCCAGACUCCUACGGGAGGCAGCAGUGGGGAAUAUUGGACAAUGGGCGAAAGCCUGAUCCAGCCAUGCCGCGUGUGUGAAGAAGGUCUUCGGAUUGUAAAGCACCUUAAGUUGGGAGGAAGGGCAGUAAGUUAAUACCUUGCUGUUUUGACGUUACCAACAGAAUAAGCACCGGCUAACUUCGUG
rnacentral:rRNA from 1 species